rnacentral:rRNA from 1 species
GUUAGGAAUAUUGGACAAUGGGCGCAAGCCUGAUCCAGCCAUGCCGCGUGAACGAUGAAGGCCUUCGGGUUGUAAAGUUCUUUAGCCGAUGAUUAUAAUGACUGUAGUCGGAAAAUAAGCCCCGGCUAACUUCGUGCCAGCAGCCGCGGUAAUACGAAGGGGGCGAGCGUUAUUCGGAAUCACUGGGCGUAAAGCGUGCGUAGGCGGUCUCGUAAGUUGAGAGUGAAAGCCCAGGGCUCAACCUUGGAAUUGCUCUUAAAACUGCAAGGCUAGAAUCUCGGAGAGGAUAGCGGAAUUUCCAGUGUAGCAGUGAAAUCCGUAGAUAUUGGAAGGAACACCAGUGGCGUAAGCGGCUAUCUGGACGAGUAUUGACGCUGAGGCACGAAAGCGUGGGGAUCAAACAGGAUUAGAAACCCGAGUAGUCC